rnacentral:lncRNA from 1 species
CAAUCGUUCAGUAUCUAGACCUUACUCCAAAUCAGGAAUACUUGUUUGAAAGGAUCAAAGAACUAUCUCAGGGAGGUUGUAUGAGCUCAUUUCGAUGGAACAGAGGUGGCGACUUCAAAGGACGAAAGUGGGAUACAGACCUGCCCACCGAUUCUGCUGUAAGCCCCUAGAUUCUUUCAUUCAUUUAUUUAUUUACUGUUGAUUGACUGACACAGGGUCUUACUCUGUCACCCAGGCUGUAGUGCAGUGGCACAGUCACGUCUCACUGCAGCUUUGAUCUCCCAGGGCUCAAGUGCUCCUCCCAGCUCAGCCUCCCAAGUAGCUGGGACUAGGCCUGAACCACCACACCCAGCUAAUUUUUUUAAUUUUUUGUAGAGAUGGGGUCUCACUUUUUUGCCCAGGCUGGUCUUGAAGUCCUGGGUUCAAGUGAUCCCCCUGCCUCAGCUUCCCAAAGUGCUGGGUUUACAGACACGAGCUACUGUGCCUGACCCUUA